GAUGAAGAACGUAGCGAAAUGCGAUACUUGGUGUGAAUUGCAGAAUCCCGUGAACCAUCGAGUCUUUGAACGCAAGUUGCGCCCGAAGCCAUUAGGCCGAGGGCACGCCUGCCUGGGCGUCACACGUCGUUGCCCCCCCAUCUACUCCUUCGGGAUUGCGGGGGGCGAAUGAUGGCCUCCCGUGCGCCUCGUCGCGCGGUUGGCAUAAAUGCCAAGUCCUCGGCGACGCACGCCACGACAAUCGGUGGUUGCGAAACCUCGGUUGCCCGUCGUGUGCGGUCGUCGCGCAUCGAGGGCUCGAAAAAAUUGCCGGGCUCCGGCUCGGCUUUCAACGCGACCCCAGGUCAGGCGGGGUUACCCGCUGAAUUUAAGCAUAUCAAUAAGCGGAGGA
rnacentral:misc_RNA from 1 species